AUAUCCUACUGUUGGAUGUUGCACCACUUACUCUUGGAAUUGAGACUGUUAACGACCGUGAUGACCAAAUUGAUCCCUAGAAACAUUGUUAUCCCAACCAAGAAAUCUCAAGUUUUUAGCACUUACCAGGAUCAACAAACCACUGUAUCCAUUUAGGUCUUUGAGGGUGAAAGAAGCCUCACAAAGGACUGUAUAUCUUACCAGGAUUCAACUUUUUUUAGGCAACAAUCUUCAUUGACUCCUCAAACUCGAGAACAUGUGCAGGACUAGGUUAUCCAUGCAAGAUUAGGAGAGGUGGGGUAGCUCGAGUCUUCUUUUGAC